rnacentral:rRNA from 1 species
UACGGGAAGGGCAAGCGUUAUCCGGCGUGACUGGGCGUAAAGAGUCCGUAGACGGUAAAGUAAGUUUAUUGUUAAAUGUUAAAACUUAAUUUAAUAGAGCAAUAAAUACUGCUUACUUUGAGUUAAUAUAGAAAGUAGAAUUUAAUAUGGUAGGGUGAAUCCGUAGAUAUAUAAAGGAAUGUCAACAGCGAAGGCAACUUUUGGUAUAACUGACGUUGAGGAGAAAGUGUGGGAGCAAA